UGUAAGACAAUAAUUUAUACUUAAUCCAAAAUGCAUAUUAUUAGACAGUAAUGACUGUCUAGUCUGAGUUUUACAUUAUUAACCAGUUGACUCGUAUAGAUUCCAAAUCACUAUGCAGCAGUAGAGUGGGAAAAUGUAACGAAUAUGGAUAAACACAAUUUCACAUGGGCACAGUUAGACUUUACAAACUGGGUUUUAGUCAAUUAAAUAGGCAUGGUUUCUUGUAAGAAUCUCCAUGCCUAAAACUGAUUCUUCUUUAUUUGUCUUAUAAGUUUAUUUAAUGAAGUUCUGUGCAAUGGAUAGGAAAUGCAUAUAAAAAUUUUAACUGGUGCACCUGAAGGGGAGAUACCACUUAUGAGAAUUAGGUUUCCAUGGGAUGCUAACAUUAAAAUAUAUCAUAAUGAAAUAGGAUACUGGAUCCAGUGUUGGGCUUCCAUGAACUCAGUAAUAAUGUCCUAGGUUCUAUGAAGGGCAGGGAAUUUUUAAUCAGCCAAGUGGCUCUCAUCUUCUUGAGAGGACAUUGCUGCAUGAAAUAGGGUAUUUUGUUAGCUAAGGGAAGUUUUGAUAUUUAAUAAAUAGUCAUUCUGGCUUAGAAAUCCAUAAAGUUGCCUUUAUUAUAGGACAUUUAGGCCAUAAUAUGUGGCUGCCAGCCAGAUUGAAACUGCAGGUAGCACUGACAUGUGGCCAGCUGGACCGUAGGUAAUCUGAAACACAAACCUGAUACAGAUCUAAUACAGUUAAUCCAUUUAUAGUUAGUUUUUAACAUUUAAUGAUUUCAGUACAUAAUGCAAAAUCCUAGAAGACAGUCGUCUUCAUGCUUGUCAUCAGAGAACCAGAAAUCUUACGCUUUGUAAUUUGUCACUUUUAAAAGAGCCAACACAUUAAAUAUUUGAAUCUGUUAGGAAAACAAUCUAUAAAUAUGUUGAAUGAUUAUCUCUAUAACUUUCUUACCCUCAGAAUCAUCAUCAAGAGAAAAAUGGUCGACAGGGUCUAGUGACUUUGUGUUGAAAAACAAGGCAUGUUGUUCAUCAUCACCUGUAGACAGCUUCACCAUUAGUCCCUGUGAAAUAUGAUACACAGUUUAUAAAAGAGAAUUGUAACAUUUUCAGUGCAUCAGAUCCUCUUAAAACAUGCAGAGGUGGAAUCUGAAUAGAACUGCAUGGUUAGAAUCUGUUUUAUAUGAUUUCAGUUUUACAUACUGCACAUAUACGUAAGAAAAUAUGGUAUGUAUUGGACAAUUCCUUUUAUAUACUGAACUAGUCGCAUUAAUAUGAACCAUAACCUGUACUGACUGAACCUUUCUUAAUAAAAACCAAAAUACACAUUA